GGGCCUGUAGCUCAAUGGUUAGAGCAGAGUGCUCAUAACGCUUUGGUUGGGGGUUCAAGUCCCUCCAGGCCUACCA
rnacentral:tRNA from 1 species